CCAAUGAGGCGAGAUGCACCCCGGUUCAGCCCAGGGCGCCACGCUGGCAAGAGGAAGAGAGAGAGAGCGACACGCUCUUAAAGGCGCACGCACCCGCAGUCAACCCAUUCCCUUGGCCGCCCUCCCGCUCUUGCCCCAAAUCCCGGCUCAGGGAGGAAGGGAAGGCGCGGAUCCAGCGGCGGGGCCCGGGAGCCCGUGGCCUCCCCGCGUGACCGUGGAGCCGCCCCAGACGGCCACCCAGGAGGGCUGGGAGGGAGCAGGAGGAGGAGCCGGCCGGGCCGCGUGAGCAGGGAAGCCCCACGCCUUCCUUCUUCCCUCUCUCCCUCCCUCCCUCCCUCCUGCCUUCCUUACACUCAGGCCAAAGCCAGCAAUAAUCCACGCAGGCCUUGGCAAUGGAUUGAGGGCGAGGCCCUGGGGUCCUCCACAAUCACACCUGCACUGUUGAUUCAUGACAGUGUGGCCCCACUGUCACUGCCCUGGCUCAAUACUAUGGGGUCAUAAUGGAGUCCUAGAAAAUCUUCAACCUUCUAUAGUAAACUGCAACUCUAGCUGGAUACACACUGCCCUAUAUCCCAGGAUCUUGAUCCCAGAUGACACUAGUUUACAGAGUGGCCACUCCCUGUAACCCCUUCAGCAUCAUCUCUGGGUGCCCUGCCUUCUGUCCCAUCAUCCUCCAUCAAUGAAAUCUCCCAUCAAAUGCUCAAUGCAAGAGGAGGCUGCUCAUUCAGAACCAAAGGAGGCCAAGAAUGAUGCUGUGUUGAAAUCUUUGAAACACCGCUCAGGUUCAUAGGCACUUCCCUCAAAGCUGUUUUUAAUAUCUUUGGCCCUACCAGGCUGCUCAGACCAUAACAUCUUUGGCAAUACCUCAGGGUGCCCUGCCUUCUUCCCUGCCAUCCUCUUCGUAGAUGAAAUCUGCCAUCCAACAUUCAAUGCAAGAGGAGGGUUCUUAAAGAACAAAACUCUGAGGUUAUUUCCUGAAAAACCAGCUACCCUGGGGUGCUGCUACAAGCCCGAAAAGAUGAAAGAGUGAAAUAAAAAAAACAGACAGAUCGUCAUAAUGGGACAUGUCCCCCUGAUGAUGGAUGACUGCUAGGCGUUCGGAAUGGGAAAUGUUGGACUCUCCUACAACCUGAAGAGAUGUCCCAAGACCUCCUUCACAGCCUUACUCUGAAGUUGGCUCAACUAGAGUUGUGUACUCACCAGUUGACAUUCCAUUCUGAGCAUAUAUCGCCAGCACGUUUGAGAUGUGGGGACUGUUCUGAUCAUUGCUUGAACUUCUCGUACUCUCAAUCUCCAGUGAGUUCCCACACUUCAAGGUGUUCAACUGCUCACCUUCAUUUCUCCUGUGACUAUCAUUGAUCUUGGGCCCAGAGAGAAUAUCUCUGUUCACCGCUUAUACCAAUAGACCAGUGGUUCUCAAUCUGUGGGUCCCCAGGUGUUUUGGCCUACAACUCCCAGAAAUUCUAACAGCUGGUAAACUGGCUGGGAUUACUGGGAGUUGUAGGACAAAACACCUGUGGACGCACAGAUUAAGAAUCACUGAAAUAGACUAUCUACCCCUUCGCCCAGGGUCUUGUCUGCCCUUUUGGUGUCGGAUAACUGCAUGCAACUGUAUGGCACAGUGUGCUGAAUACAAAGCAUAUAGAUUGUUUUUUGUCAUGUGUAUAGUAUGCAAUAGUGUUAGUUUGUGUAAUAUUAUACAGUAAUUCUAAACCUGGGGUCCCCAGAUGUUUUUGGCCUUCAACUCCCAGAAAUCCUAACAGUUGGUAAACUGGCUGGGAUUUCUGGGAGUUGUAGACCAAAAACAUCUGGGGACCCCAGAUUGAGAACCACUGGAUUAGGAUGAUUCUUUUGGAUUGAGCAUUGUUAGAGUUGUAGUCCAGUUUUAUAUAUUAAGAAAAAAAUGUAUUGUCUUGUUUCUUCGUGGGGGGGGGGGGAUACUUUUUCAUAUUUUUCAGUAUAUGCUUCUGUUUGUAUGUUUGCAGAUUUGUUUCGUUGAAUAAAAAUUAGUGA